GGCCCCAUAGCUCAGCAGGAUAGAGCGGCGGUUUCCUAAACCGUAGGUCAGAGGUUCGAGUCCUCUUGGGGCCGCCA
rnacentral:tRNA from 1 species